UUUUUAAAACAUGUACUUGGUUCUAUAAUCAUUAAUAGUAUUACCUCAAUGAAUUCUGCCGUUGCCUCACAGUCUUUAAACUGAGAGUACCCAAGAUCCCUCAUUGUGCGGAGAGCCACUGACACAGAGCGACUCAGUGUCUGCGCAGCCAGGGACACCCUCAUCUUGUGUUUCUCAAAGUAGACAUGUUUGUCUGUAAUUUUAUUGGCAGCGUGCAGUCCAUCCUUUUUUUGCGCAUCAUUGAGAUGAUUAACCCUCAAGCGACCAAGCUAUUUUAGCGACUAAAAUGACCGACUGGCGUCAUUUAUGACCCCACUAUAUUUGACACAGGAAGAUGUCUACUUUAUUGCCUCUUUUUGUGCUUUCUUACCUAUUCCACGCCACUGCAUUUUAAGAUGGAUAUUCUAAAAUAACCUUCUUUUAUUAUUCAUGGAUUUUAAUCAUUUUUGACUCAGAGCUAAAGUAAAACCAUAUGAACAAUAUGAUGCAUUGUGAGAACGCAAUAACAUUUAUUUAGACACGCUUUGUCUGCCGCCACUUCUUUUAAAACUUUAUUCCUUUUGUUUCCUCAAUAGUAAAUCAAAAGUACAUAAAAACAAAAUCUACACAAACAUCUUGUCUGUAUGUGUGCAAUGUAACAUGCAGAGAGGUAUUUAGAUUAGGGGCGGCUACGGCUCAGGUGGCAGAGCCCUUCGUCCAAUGCAAGACACUUUACCCACCUUACCUCCAGUGCUGCCACUUACACUGGUGUAUGAAUGUGUAUGCUGUGUAAUGUUGGUGGUGGUCAGAGGGGUUGUAGGAGUGGAUUGGCAGCCAGUCAGUCUGGCCCAGGGCAGCUGUGGCUAAAAAUGUAGGUCUACCAGCUAUAGUGCACUGCAAAACACUGAAAUAUAGCGAUUAGAGGUAAAAAUAAAUAAAUAAAACUAAGGCCUACAAUAGUGAAAAACCUAUACACGAAACCAUAGAUUAAUUUACGUGACAGUUUCACGAAUCCUUGUGAGACCGGGUUGUAUAUGAAUAUUUUAGGUUGAUGAAAAGCGGACCGACGUGGCGGAUGUGGUAAAAAAAUCAUUUCGAAGCCUUGUCUGGAUUAAAAAAAGAAAAGUGGAAGAUCAAAUAAAUAAUAAAAACUGAGGUUUCACAUCAGUAUUUCACUUGUGCUGUUUUAUUUGUAUGGUUGUUUGAAUAUGUUAGAAUAUUAACAUGACUUAUCUUCUAUAAUUUCUGUUUUUUGGACAAUACAAAUAUAAAGUGUUUUAUUUUUGAAGUAGAAAAAAAAUGAAAACAUGUUAAAAAGAAGGGGUAUUCAGACCAUCUGUAUUUUUUUAUUUUUCUGAAGAUUUAUUCUUGAUUUUUAUUCUUUGAUAUCUUAAAAUCGAGAGGUUAAUAUUUCUAGAAUUGCAACAGGUUGGGAGCUGAAGCCUUGUGGUGACACUAUAUAUUGCUCCAUGAUAAAAAAUGAUUAGCUCAUUCUUACAGCUAUUUAAAAAAAUACUGAAAACAUUGUAUUCGAUUAAAAUGUAAUUUAAAAAAAAUGUUAAAUGUCA